CCUACGGGAGGCAGCAGUGGGGGAUAUUGCACAAUGGGGGAAACCCUGAUGCAGCGACGCCGCGUGUGGGCAGACGGUCCUCUGGAUUGUAAACCACUGUCCCCAGGGACGAAGAUGACGGUACCUGGGGAGGAAGCUCCGUCUAACUACGUGCCAGCAGCCGCGGUCAUACGUAGGUAGCGAGCGUUGUCCGGAAUUACUGGGUGUAAAGGGAGCGUAGGCGGGACUGCAAGUUGGGUGUCAAAUCUACCGGCUCAACCGGUAGCCGCACUCAAAACUGCCGUUCUUGAGUGAAGUAGAGGCAGGCGGAAUUCCUAGUGUAGCGGUGAAAUGCGUAGAUAUUAGGAGGAACACCAGUGGCGAAGGCGGCCUGCUGGGCUUUUACUGACGCUGAGGCUCGAAAGUGUGGGGAGCAAACAGGAUUAGAUACCCGGGUAGUC
rnacentral:rRNA from 1 species